rnacentral:ncRNA from 1 species
UACAAACUGAUGAAUAAGAAUAGUAAGAAAGUUUUACUUUUACAGAGAGUCGCAGAUGGUGUGAUUGCGAUAUAGUAUACUUUACUGAAUGGACUUAUGAGGGCAGGCCGAAAUAUUUUAUUAGAGUAGGCUUUGACGAGAUCUCAGCUCGUUACAAAGUGAGAAUGUAUGUCAGUACAUUAUAAAGUGGGUCAUUUUGACCAAUUUGGGUGGUACCGCAGGAAUUUACUCUUGUCCCUUUC